rnacentral:rRNA from 1 species
AGGACGAACGCUGGCGGCGUGCUUAACACAUGCAAGUCGAGCGAGGCCCUCUCUUCGGAGAGGUGCCCUAGCGGCGAACGGGUGAGUAACACGUGGGCAACCUGCCCCUAGCACUGGGAUAAGCCCGGGAAACCGGGUCUAAUACCGGAUAUGACCUUCAAGGGCAUCCUCGAAGGUGUAAAGGAUUCUGGCUAGGGAUGGGCCCGCGGCCUAUCAGCUUGUUGGUGGGGUAACGGCCCACCAAGGCAACGACGGGUA